rnacentral:rRNA from 1 species
UGGUGGAGUGAUUUGUCUGGUUAAUUCCGUUAACGAACGAGACCUUAUCCUGCUAAAUAGUAUAAGAAAAAUUUUAUUUUUCUAUAAACUUCUUAGAGGGACUUUGCGUGUUUAACGCAAGGAAGUUUGAGGCAAUAACA